CAGUCGCCGCGGUAAUACGAAGGGUGCAAGCGUUAAUCGGAAUUACUGGGCGUAAAGCGUGCGUAGGUGGUUUGUUAAGUUGGAUGUGAAAUCCCCGAGCUCAACCUGGGAACUGCAUUCAAAACUGACUGACUAGAGUAUGGUAGAGGGUGGUGGAAUUUCCUGUGUAGCGGUGAAAUGCGUAGAUAUAGGAAGGAACACCAGUGGCGAAGGCGACCACCUGGACUAAUACUGACACUGAGGUGCGAAAGCGUGGGGAGCAAACAGGAUUAGAUACCCCUGUAGUCCCUGUCUCUUAUAC
rnacentral:rRNA from 1 species